UACGUAGAGGGCAAGCGUUAUCCGGAUUUACUGGGUGUAAAGGGAGCGUAGACGGCGAUGCAAGUCUGAAGUGAAAGGCGGGGGCCCAACCCCCGGACUGCUUUGGAAACUGUAUGACUGGAGUGCAGGAGAGGUAAGUGGAAUUCCUAGUGUAGCGGUGAAAUGCGUAGAUAUUAGGAGGAACACCAGUGGCGAAGGCGGCUUACUGGACUGUAACUGACGUUGAGGCUCGAAAGCGUGGGGAGCAAACAGG
rnacentral:rRNA from 1 species